UCAAAUAUCUUUUAUUUUUCCUUGAAAAUUCAGCUAUUCCCUCUCGACCCAAAUCUUCUCUCUCUCUUCAACUUUUCAUCACUCUCCCUUCUUCUUUGAUGGCAGUGUCGCCGGUGGGUAACUAAAUUAGUAACCCUCUCUCCUCUUAGAUUAUUUUUCUCCUCUUAUUCUUAGACUGCAGAUCAUCCCUCCCUUUCAUUGUUCCUACCCUUUCUCUUUUCUUUUCCUUCUCUUUCAGGGAAACACAAGAAAAAGAAAGAAGAUAAAUUUAACAAACAUGCUUGCAAGGAACCCUAACUCCUGUGAACAGUUACCUCUCUCUCUCUAGCAAUGGAUUUUUUCUUUCUUUCCGUCAAUUUUCCUCCAAGAGGGAAAUCAUUCCACUUUAACUCUCAUCCAAGAGGGAAAUCAGGUCAUUCUUGUUCGAUGGUGCUAUUGAAGGUCGAUGUGGAACUCACCAUUGUUGGGGAGAAGCUGUGUUUGUCAUGAGAAUCUCUCUAGGAAUUCAUGUCGGUUUGUCGGAACUCUUUCCUUGGAGAUGGAUGCUAAUUCUCUAAGAUGGUUAACAGUUUGGUGAUGAGGAAAAUUUAUUAUGGGAUUGGAUCCUUACAUCUUAGCUAUUGAUUUGUGGACAAAAUAAGCUACAGUCAUGAACCUCAUGCAUGCUGAAAGCAUUGUCCCCUUCCCCCCCCCCCCCAAAAAAAAUUCAUUUGUCUACUUUUCACGCUUGAUUGAAGUUAUAUGAUAUGAAUUUGGCUCCUCUGUGGCACAUGACAAUGUCCCACGCGCAUCCAACGCCUAGCAAUGCUUUGGGCUGUGUGUGACUGCCUUGGGCUUUGUGCCAAGACGUUUUUGGUCGUUGAAUGUGCGCUAGACACUGUGUUGCUCCACAGAGGAGCUCAAUCAGAUACGACCUGAGUGGCUGCACACUAAUCAAUAGGAAGUAACUCAUUGAUGUCCUGGCCUUUCUGAACCACUGUUGUACCAAAAAAAAAAAGUGAACUACUGGGUAGAAAACAAGAUAUUUAUUUGAAAACCAUACUUUUUGUCUUUCUGAAAGUUUUGCUGGAAGAUUGGUUGAAUGUCAUUUGAAUAAGAAUGUAUGAACAAGCCUUGCGAUCAAUGAUAAUAAAUUUCUCUGUUAAAUAUUUGAUUCUUUAGAAUGAACAAAACAAUACAGAUUUCUGACUUGGUGUACAAAGAAUAUUGUUCUUCAGAGUUCCCCAUCACAAGCCUAUUCCAGUUAUGGUUACCUUAUUUCCCUUUCCAUUUAAAAGAAAAAGGUUAAUUCCAUGGGCUGAAACCCGGUUAGCCUAACAGGAGUAAAACAUAGGAUUACACAAGAAAGUAGAAAUCUAUAUAGGUUGUAAUCACUUGCCAUAUGGAACUAUAAAUACCCAAAUAUACUGAGGGAU